GGCUUCGUAGCUCAGCUGGUAGAGCGUUUGCCGUGUCGAGACAUGAAGUUUCUGUCGCUGGUUCGAAUCCAGCCGAAGCCC
rnacentral:tRNA from 1 species